AUACGUAGGGAGCGAGCGUUGUCCGGAAUUACUGGGUGUAAAGGGAGCGUAGGCGGGAGUGCAAGUCAGAUGUGAAAUACAUGGGCUCAACCCAUGGGCUGCAUUUGAAACUGCAUCUCUUGAGUGAAGUAGAGGUAAGCGGAAUUCCUGGUGUAGCGGUGAAAUGCGUAGAUAUCAGGAGGAACACCGGUGGCGAAGGCGGCUUACUGGGCGUUUACGGACGCGGAGGCUCGAAAGCGUGGGGAGCAAACAGGAUUAGAUACCCGGGUAGUCCACGCUGUAAACGAUGAUUACUAGGUGUGGGGGGACUGACCCCUUCCGUGCCGCAGUUAACACAAUAAGUAAUCCACCUGGGGAGUACGGCCGCAAGGUUGAAACUCAAAUGAAUUGACGGGG
rnacentral:rRNA from 1 species